CACUGGAAGAUGGAUCCUGUUUCUUAGUUUCUUACUUUUCAAGCUGGACUGACUUUAAAGCAUGCGUCGUGGAGACUGGUUGCCUUGGCCUGGUGAGGCUCAGAGACGAGACGAAAGGAGAUCCGAAGCCAGAUUGGCCGAGGGUCUGCAGAGACUCGACCAGGCUAAACAUUACCACCUCAACACACUGGCCAGAGAACAGCGCAGACUUCACAGAGACCUCAUCUCCAUCAAAACAGGUAAUCCCUGGAAAAGAGGACUCCAAAGUUUAGGGCUACGACCCUCCAACCAUGAUGUUGUUCGCCCUGCUGCAUCUUACAAGAGGACCCUGUUACCCAUCAUCCCCAUUGCAGGAAAGGAGAUAGACAGUCACAGGUCCUCUUCACUGCAGGCUCGUGUUCAGGAGUUUAUGAGCAAUGGGGAGAAAAGGGCAGAGCACUCCUUUGAGACGCUCUGUCUGCCAGACCUAAAACAGCAGCUUGUCACCUCUCUCACCGCUACGAGCACAGAUACAGAAAGAGAGGAGAGCAAGGAGAGAGAGAUGGAUGGAGAACAGGACAGAAACAGAGGGGCCCACGUGGACAUAGUUAGGGACAGAGAAAAAGACAGCCAGAAAGACAGGGAAUGGAUGCUGUUAAGGGAACGAGAGAAAGUUAAUGAAAGUGGAGCUGAGGUACAUGGGAAUAGGUGUCCGUCCUCUCCUGUCACAUUCCCCUCUGAGAUGCUGGCUCCGGAUGGACAUUUAAGAACAGUUCACACGUUACCAAACUUUGCUCAGGCACUGGCCGCGGCCCGAAAAGCAAGAUACAUCAGAUACCGAGGACAACCGCUGUGUGAGCGAGAACUCACCAUACGAGAGAUAUUUGCCCGAGAUUCAAGAGCUCCUGCUCAUUGAGACACUAAAACAGUGGUUCUUGACUGGUUGUAAUUACCAUGUUUUAAUUACCGUAAUUACUUGAUGACAGCCUGUCCUGGAUGUUCUACUAGAAGCUGUUCACAUAGUUAGUUCACCAAAAAAUGAAUAUUCUGUCAUUAUUAUCGUUCCAAACCUGUAAGACCUUCAUUCAUCUUUGGAACAUCAAAGGAAAAUAUUCUGGAUGAAAUCCGAGAGCUUUCUGACCCGCCAUAAACAGCAACACAACUACCAUGUUCAAGGCCUAAAGACAUCAUUAAAAUUGUCCAAGUGACAUCAGUGGUUUAAUCGCUCUUUUAUGAAGCUACAAGAAUACUUCGAGAAUAAUUUGUGAAAUGUCUUCUUCUGUGUCAGUCUUCGAAACGCGUUCACGAGAGUACUAUGACGCAUGCACGUUCAUUUGUCUGAUGUCACAUGAACUAUUUUAACAAUGUCUUUAUUAACUUUCUGGACAUGUCAGGACAUGUCAGAUGUGUCGCUGUCCAUGGGAGGUUUAGAAAGCUCUCGGAUUUCAUCAAAAAUAUCUUCAUUUGUGUUUCUAAGAUGAACGUUUUUUAUUUUGGGGUAAACUAUCCCUUUAAUGCCCAAAGUAGACCUCAGUUGUGAUGCAAAUAUUUACUGUAUGCAUAUAACUGAAUGUGUAGCCUUUGAAGGUAUAUUUGAUGACAUGUAAAAAUACAGGAGCUCAGCAUAUGCUUACUAUCAGAUUUAAGCUUUGUCCAGUGUCUAAAUUGACUUUAAUGUAAUUUUUUCUUACUUUGCAAUAUGUUUUCUUGAAUGAGACAGCCUUAUGUGGCCGACAAAAAUGUGACCCUGAAGGCCGCAACCUUCGAAAUAAGACUUUAGAAAAUCUGUCAGUAAGCGUGUACUAUGGUAUGCACAUUAUCUACGCAGUAUGCAUAAAGUUGAAGUAUACUUUGGGCUAUUAUAUAUUAGACAUUACUUAUCCAAGUCUGUGCUAACUAUAUUUUGUCCUUACAGUAAAUAAUUAGUCAUUUCAACAUAGUGUGAAUGCACCUUUCAUUAUUUGCUUUUGAGAACCUCUGAGCUAAAACACACAAACCAAAACACAUGCUCACAAACAGUUCCUUGAUCUUUCCUCUACUGAAGCUCACACACAUACAUACAUUUAGAAUAUCCAUUUAAAUGUUAGGAUAUGUUAAUAAUUGUAACAUGAUUAAUUACAAAGACAAAUCUGUAUAAGCACCUUGUAAUGUUUGUUUAUGACUGAUAUCUAAAAGAAACAAACCAUUUAAUGAUGGUUUAACACUCUUUUUAUCAGCAGCAAUAAAACCAAUAAUAAUAAUAAAUACAAUCAAAAAAGCUGCUUUGGUUUGCAUUUCAUCAGAAGUGUGCAUCUUCUGUCAUAUACUUCUCUGUGUAAUGUCAUAAUCAUUGUAGGCAUAUUUUCAUUUCAUGAGUAGUGCUCUGCUGUAGUUUGAUCAUUCCUGUUAUGCGGUAACAUUUUGACUUCAAAGGUGUUGGAAAAAAAGUUACAUGAUUUUUAUGUUUUUUUGCAUUCUACCAAAAUAGUGACAUGUUUAACUAUUAGGAUUGGAUAUUGGUCAAGCUUGGGGACUCAAAAAAUAAUAAUUAUGGGUAGAUUGUUCAGACACUGGCCAUGAAAAUAUUCCACCCUUUUAGGGACAAAUAGAUAGUUAUCACAACAUGUUAAUAAUGUAAAUGUUAAACAAUAAUGAUUUUUUAACGUUUCACGUUGCUUUGACAUUAUUAUUUAAAAUGACUUGUAUAACAGGGUGGAACACCAGUGUUAACAGGUUCGUUAACAUUGGACAAGCUUUCCGUCAUUGUCCUGCAUGGUUUCCCAUCUGUAAUGUGUGGAACUGCACCUAUAUAUAUAUUUCAAAAUGAUACCAAAAAUAAUAAUAAUAAAUGAUAAUAAAUAAAUAAUAAUCCAGAUUUCCUUUGGGGGAGGGACACAAAAAAUAGCUAUGUUGUUCCUUAUCACAAUCAAUCAUGGUGGCAAAACGAUUAUCUGUUCAGAAGGCUAGAGAAAUUGAGAGGAAAGACAUAAUAAAUUAAAAUUUAUUUAUAUUUGAUUAAAAGUAAAGAUGUUAUAAAUCAUUUGGAUUAACUAUAUUAACAAACCACAAAAAACUUAAGGGAUUCUUGCACAGUAUCUUUAUAUAUAUAUAUAUAUAUAUAUAUAUAUAUAUAUAUAUAUAUAUAUAUAUAUAUAUAUAUUACACGUAUAUAGAAAUUGAUUCGUUAUGCGUUUAUAAUGUUUAGAAGGUUUAUAGACCUAACAGGGUGGAAUCUAACAGGGUGGAAAAUUUUUAGCUAAAUUAGCCAUAGCUCACUGAGUGAUCAACAUUUAGAUAGCUAACCUUCAGCAGAUAAACAGAACUUUUAAAACUAUGUCAGAUUUGUUUUUACAUUUUUUUGAUAGGACAAACAUUCUACAUUAUAUAGCCUAACAGGGUGGAACUUUAAGGGUGGGACAAGCAGGAUAACAUUUCAAAAACAAAAAAAAAAGAGUUAGGAGUGAGAGUUGAAGAUUACCUCAGUUUGUACAGAUAAAUUCCAGUGGGAAAAAUAAAUUAUGUCACUUCUAUAAAAUGGUCUCAAUGAAAUUGCAGUCGAUUUUGGAAGGAGAGAAAGUAUGUACUAACAGGGUGGAAAACGACUUCAGGGACACAGGAAUUUAAGAAAAUGGUAAAAAAAAAAAAAAAAAAAAAAAAAAAAAAUAUUUUCUCUUGAUUUAUAUGUAUGAUUAAAGGCAGUUUAGCCUAGUCUAUAACAUAAUUAAAACACAUUUUUAGUUUUAAUCAUUUUACGGUUUAUAUUUCUUGUGGAAGUUGAUUACUUUGCCUUGAGGACAUAAUAAAAUUGAAUGCAUAUAUCAAUGAAAAGGUGUGUAAAAUACAAAAUAGUAUCAAUCAUUUCUAUUAUCCCUGUUUAAGUGAUAAAGAAGACCUAAAUAUACAAUUUAAGCCAUAUCUUAUAAAUAUGUGACUCAUUUUAGAUAAAAUAUGAUUAAAUAAAUAAUUGGGACAUAAAAGUCACUGUUUAACAGGAAUGACCCAGUUGUGAAACUGCCAUCAUAUCACAUUAUCGCCCUCUGCUAAUGGUCACCUACAGUAUUAUGGUUAAGUGUUAUGGACUAACAAAUUACCUCUCAAAGUACGUUUAAAGGGAUGCGUCGCGUCGCGUCGGACGCGUUACAGAGGUAUUUGAUUGGUCGACUGGGUGUCUACGUCAAUAAUGCAGUUUCGUAGUAAGCAUCGAGUUACAGAAUAGUAUUUAUAUUCUGUAAGAGACUUAUUUGAAGUAUGUAAUAUGAUACAUAUGCAAAUAUGAAUGUGAACAUAUAAAACACAUCAACGUUAGACUGUUUCUCUGCAAGCGUCCAGGUGAAAUGGGUCAGUUUGUUCGAGGAAGUGGAGAAUAACAAGAGCAAACUUGUGUGUGUGUGGGUGUGUGUUUGUGUGUGGUGAUGGCGUAUUGCAAAACGUUCGUCUCCCACAAGGCUUAUUAUUAACGGCAACAACCCCGGUAUAAUUCCGGUUUCAGUGUUGGUCUUAAUCCAGCAAGAUCAGUGUUCCAGUGUAACCCGC
rnacentral:lncRNA from 1 species